rnacentral:rRNA from 1 species
UACAGAGGUCCCAAGCGUUGUUCGGAUUCACUGGGCGUAAAGGGCGCGUAGGCGGCGCGGUAAGUCACUUGUGAAAUCUCUGAGCUUAACUCAGAACGGCCAAGUGAUACUGCAGUGCUAGAGUGUGGAAGGGGCAAUCGGAAUUCUUGGUGUAGCGGUGAAAUGCGUAGAUAUCAAGAGGAACACCUGAGGUGAAGACGGGUUGCUGGGCCAACACUGACGCUGAUGCGCGAAAGCCAGGGGAGCAAACGGG